CCAGAACAUCACCACCACCCCUGUCCCAGCCCCAGCCCCAGCCCUUUGGAGAUGACCCCUGAAAGCUUCCAGCACCGUGGCUGUGCCCCACCUCAGCACGGCUGCCUUCCUCCUCCAGCCUUCCACCACGCCCCCGCGGUCAUCGUGUCCAGAUCGCCUGGAGCCGACUCCAGCUUGAGAGCCCGUCCCUCACCGUGUCCUUCUCCAGAGAAGCCAGGGCCUAGAUUGUUGGGCCAAAAGCGGAAGCCCUCUGGGCUUGCUUGUCCAGAACUUCCUGUUCUCUUCUCUCAGGAAGACUGGAGAGAAAAGCAUGGUUUCAGGAACUUCCCGGAGAACAGAAAGAGGUUCUAAUUCCCGAAGCAACCAGGGCCGAGGCAGCAGGGGACAGGGCCUCAGAGAAUGGCCUGCAGGCCCCCAGCGAUCGGGACAACAGCGCUUCACCCAUUCCUGAGGGUCCAUGUGCCUGAACAGUGAGCAUGUCAGCAAGUGACAGAAACCUAAGACCAGAGGACCCUCCCCAAAUGUGUCAGGUUCCUGGGGACCUCUGCGCAACGCUGGAGGGCAGGCAGGCAGGCAGGAAGGGAUGCCUCAGGAUGACUGAAGCCGAAUUCCCCACCAUCUUGUCAGGGUGGGGUAGGGCUCAUUGAUGACUGCAUUUGAUUUUUCAAGAUUAAAAAGCGGGGAGCAUUCCUUAUG